rnacentral:rRNA from 1 species
UAUGAAUAAGGAUCGGCUAACUCCGUGCCAGCAGCCGCGGUAAUACGGAGGAUCCGAGCGUUAUCCGGAUUUAUUGGGUUUAAAGGGUGCGUAGGCGGCCUUUUAAGUCAGCGGUGAAAGUCUGUGGCUCAACCAUAGAAUUGCCGUUGAAACUGGGGGGCUUGAGUAUGUUUGAGGCAGGCGGAAUGCGUGGUGUAGCGGUGAAAUGCAUAGAUAUCACGCAGAACCCCGAUUGCGAAGGCAGCCUGCCAAGCCAUGACUGACGCUGAUGCACGAAAGCGUGGGGAUCAAACAGGAUUAGAUACCCUGGUAGUCCACGCAGUAAACGAUGAUCACUAGCUGUUUGCGAUACACUGUAAGCGGCACAGCGAAAGCGUUAAGUGAUCCACCUGGGGAGUACGCCGGCAACGGUGAAACUCAAAGGAAUUGACGGGGGCCCGCACAAGCGGAGGAACAUGUGGUUUAAUUCGAUGAUACGCGAGGAACCUUACCCGGGUUUGAACGCAUUCGGACCGAGGUGGAAACACCUUUUCUAGCAAUAGCCGUUUGCGAGGUGCUGCAUGGUUGUCGUCAGCUCGUGCCGUGAGGUGUCGGCUUAAGUGCCAUAACGAGCGCAACCCUUGCCACUAGUUACUAACAGGUAAAGCUGAGGACUCUGGUGGGACUGCCAGCGUAAGCUGCGAGGAAGGCGGGGAUGACGUCAAAUCAGCACGGCCCUUACAUCCGGGGCGACACACGUGUUACAAUGGCGUGGACAAAGGGAAGCCACCUGGCGACAGGGAGCGAAUCCCCAAACCACGUCUCAGUUCGGAUCGGAGUCUGCAACCCGACUCCGUGAAGCUGGAUUCGCUAGUAAUCGCGCAUCAGCCAUGGCGCGGUGAAUACGUUCCCGGGCCUUGUACACACCGCCCGUCAAGCCAUGGGAGCCGGGGGUACCUGAAGUCCGUAACCGCGAGGAUCGGCCUAGGGUAAAACUGGUGACUGGGGCUAAGUCGUAACAAGGUAGCCGUACCGGAAGGUGCGGCUGGAACACCUCCUUUCU